AAAUUUCAUCCUAAUUUCCGCCAUUUUGAAAAAAACAAUUUAGCCUACAUCUCACUACAAAUCGCACAGGAAUUAAAAACAUUUCUUUGAUUUAACACAGAUCUACUAGGCUACUCUGUGUAGUAAUUACAGCAUUUACAUUAGUAGUAGCCUGUCUAAUAAAAUAUAGCCUAAUCCAAAUAAUGCCGCCUAAAAGAAUGUUUGAAAAAUAGGCCCCUAUAGGGCAUAGGGCCCUACAGAAGAGGAGUGUUUUCCGCACUCAAGAGGAAAGAGGCUGUAGGGAACUUAGAGACUAAACCUUGCCAGCAUACUGGAUUUCUGGUGAUGACAUUAGCAGCAGAUAGUAUGCGGCUCAAUUAAUACUAACAACAAUUGAUUUUAAUAAUUAGUGGACUAUGAGUGUGUGUUUGGCCAUCCAGAUUUCAUAACUACAACUGAUGUUCAAUUACAAGGGAUAUUAAUCAGUCUCUGUGGACUAUACACUGUGCCUAGCUUCAUCCCCAGAGACUGAUGUGUAAGCUUAAAGUAAAGACAUCAAAUCAAAGUAUCAGCAAUCAAGAGGAAAAACAUUCAAAAUCAUAUUGUGAUACACAAAUCAAGCAAGUCUAUGACAAAGGCUUAUGAUACAGCCAAGAAAAAGCUGGAUAUUUGAUUGGAAGGGUGGCACUAAAAAGAUGGGUUAUCACUAGGGAAACAAGCUCGGAAUACAGUUCACUGUUGGGACAUCAAGCCAAAUACUUCUAAACUUAUUUGAAUCAUUUUUGCUGUUUAUUAUAAUUCAUCCAAUUGUCUUAUUAAAUAUAUAAAUUUAUAUAUAUACACAAUUCCUAAUAUAGAAUUUCUAAAAAUGUUUUAUUAUAAUAUUUAAAAAUGAAACAAACAUGUUCCCAGAACACAGCCACAUAAUGUCAACAUGUUCCCAGAACACACAAAAUGGCAACAUGUUCCCAGAACACACAAAAUGGCAACAUGUUCCCAGAACACAGCCAAAUAAUGUCAACAUGUUCCAUGAACUCACAAAAUGGCAUUAUGUGCCCAGAACACACAAAAUGACAACAUGUUCCCAGAACACACAAAAUGUCAUUAUGUGCCCAGAAAACACAAAAUGGCAACAUGUUCCCAGCACACACAAAAUGGCAACAUGUUCCCAGAACACAGCCAAAUAAUGUCAACAUGUUCACAGAACACACAAAAUGGCAUUAUGUGCCCAGAACACACAAAAUGACAACAUGUUCCCAGAACACACAAAAUGUCAUUAUGUGCCCAGAAAACACAAAAUGGCAACAUGUUCCCAGAACACACAAAAUGGCAACAUGUUCCCAGAACACAGCCAAAUAAUGUCAACAUGUUCACAGAACACACAAAAUGGCAUUAUGUGCCCAGAACACACAAAAUGACAACAUGUUCCCAGAACACACAAAAUGUCAUUAUGUGCCCAGAAAACACAAAAUGGCAACAUGUUCCCAGAACACACAAAAUGACAACAUGUGCCAAGAACACAAAAAAUGACAACAUGUGCCGAGAACAAUUAUCUUUACUGUGGUGGAUACAGCCAAUAAAAUAGGGUAACCUUCACUAUAUGCAAUUUGUAGUUUUCAAUGCCUGUCCCAUGCAUAUUAUUUAGCCUAGUGUUUUGGGCCUUGCUUCAUUUACUCAAUAAAUUAUAUAGGCAUGAGAAUUUUCAUUUUAAUCUGCAAAAGCUACAUUCUGUACAUUAUUAUUUUCAAACUACAUCAUAUAUUUUUCUCUUCUCUGAUAAAAAAUAUUCCUCAUAUUGUUUGUGUCAAGUAUUUCAUUUUUAUCUAUGCAAUAUUAUAUUCCUAUUUUAUAAUAAUUACUUUUAUACAAAUUCUUUUGAAAACUGUUCUUUAUUGAUUUGUAUCAUUUUCUUUAUUUCUGAAAAAUAAAACUUUGUUUGGGAAUCC